rnacentral:rRNA from 1 species
UACAGAGGUCUCAAGCGUUGUUCGGAUUCAUUGGGCGUAAAGGGUGCGUAGGCGGCGCGGUAAGUCGGGUGUGAAAUCUCGGGGCUUAACUCCGAAACUGCAUUCGAUACUGCGGUGCUUGAGGACUGGAGAGGAGACUGGAAUUCAUGGUGUAGCAGUGAAAUGCGUAGAGAUCAUGAGGAAGACCAGUGGCGAAGGCAGGUCUCUGGGCCACUACUGACGCUGAGAAGCGAAAGCGUGGGGAGCGAACAGG